rnacentral:rRNA from 1 species
GACGAACGCUGGCGGCGUGCUUAACACAUGCAAGUCGAACGGAAAGGCCCUGCUUUUGUGGGGUGCUCGAGUGGCGAACGGGUGAGUAACACGUGAGUAACCUGCCCUUGACGUUGGGAUAACUUCAGGAAACUGGGGCUAAUACCGGAUAGGAGCUCCUGCUGCAUGGUGGGGGUUGGAAAGUUUCGGCGGUUGGGGAUGGACUCGCGGCUUAUCAGCUUGUUGGUGGGGUAGUGGCUUACCAAGGCUUUGACGGGUAGCCGGACUGAGAGGGUGACCGGCCACAUUGGGACUGAGAUACGGCACAGACUACUACGGGAGGCAGCAGUGGGGAAUAUUGCCCAAUGGGCGGAAGCCUGAUGCAGCAACGCCGCGUGCGGGAUGACGGCCUUCGGGUUGUAAACCGAUUUCGCCUGUGACGAAGCGUGAGUGACGGUAAUGGGUAAAGAAGCACCGGCUAACUACGUG